GUUAGCCUACGGGGGGCCGCCGUCGGGCCUCUUGCUCCCUUUUGGCCCCCCUGAAGCAGCAACGCCGCGUGGAGGAUGAAGGUUUUCGGAUUGUAAACUCCUUUUGUUAGAGAAGAUAAUGACGGUAUCUAACGAAUAAGCACCGGCUAACUCCGUGCCAGCAGCCGCGGUAAUACGGAGGGUGCAAGCGUUACUCGGAAUCACUGGGCGUAAAGAGCGCGUAGGCGGGAUAGCAAGUCAGAUGUGAAAUCCUAUGGCUUAACCAUAGAACUGCAUUUGAAACUGUUAUUCUAGAGUAUGGGAGG
rnacentral:rRNA from 1 species